GUGCCUUUCAUGAGCAGACCAGGAUGGGAGUGUGGCUCUGACAAAGGCUCAGAUUAUGCCUAGCGUGGCUGGAAUACAACAGCAAACAGUCUUGGGAUCUGCACACCACCCUGCGGUCCUGAGGCAAAACACGAGGACUCACAGCCAGAUCAUGGCUGCAACUUGAAAAAAACAACAUGAGAGAGCUUAAAGGCACCCGUAGUCAAGGAUACCAUGGGGGGCUUCAUGGCAGUGGUGGUGUUACUACUGAUACAGGAACCUUGAAUAUUAGGCUUUCAGCUGCCGAUGGGGGAAAAAAAGAGAGGCGGCGGUGUUAGCUGAGGCGGAGCGAAAAAAGAGGAAGUAAACUGUCAGAGGUACAGUUCAGCUGUAGAGAGAGACAAAUGAGCGGAGAGGAGGCCAGGAAAGAUGAAAAUCUGAGAGGAAGCUGAGCUCUGCUGGCAGUCCACGUUUGCAAAUGAUCAGACGCUGGGAACACCUCCCUUUUUGUGUACAAGUGCUCAUAGCUAGAUGUGGAAAACCUGGGGUGAUUUAUCGAGUUAAUAACCACCUUCAUGUGACCGCUGAGCAUGAUCGCGAUUGUUAAGUGUUUUGCCCAAGGACGUGGGCAGGAGAAGCCCGUGAUCUAACUGCAAACACUACAAGCAAUGGGCGACCUGCUUUACCUGCUGCUGCUGUUAAAAGAAGAAGUCUUGCUAUAUUUCUGACAAAUUUAACAAUCCAUCUCAUUACUUUACCAAAAAUUCAGACACUGAUUGGUUAUCGAGGGUUCCAAGGGGGGGGAAAGGCCGUAAAGCAGGGAGACAGACAAAAGGGUGGAGACACAAUCGA